AAAUUUAAGUUGUGGUAAAAUACGCCUAACGUAGACAUUACCAUCACGCUUGUUUUUAGGCGUGCAGCUCCGGAGCACUGAGUGCCUUCACCCAAUUGUGCAAGCAAUCUCCAGGACUGGUUUCACCCGGCAAGAUCCAAACCCAGCGCACUGAGCACUAGCUCCCGGUCGCCCCCCGCCCCGCGGCAGCCUCUCUUCUGUGGCCGGAGGUCUGUGACUUCCACACUAGGGCCUCAUACCCGUGGAAUCCUACAGUAUUUGCCUUCUUGUGACCAGUUUAUUUCACGGGACCUAGUGUCCUCAAGGCUCAUCCAGGCCAUAGUGCAAGGUGGAGCCCUCCCCCCCGGGCCCCCCAAGGCCUGCAAGGCUGCACCCCUGGCCCACACUCCCUCCUUUCCCUUGGCCAGUCAGGUUAGUCUCUGAUCCCCCAAACUUCCCCGAGUUGAGAAUUGGGGCCCCACCUCCCCUGCAGUUGAUUUUCUGACCCUCGGCCACAAGAGUUAAGAUUUUCUUUGCAGGCUGCCAGGGAGGCCCCCCUGCCCACCGUCAGCCUCCCCCGGGCCUCCAUGGAUUUGUGCACGACCGUGAACCUACAACAGCCCUCUGAGCCCCGGAUCCUGUCGGUGGCCUGCGGUGGCGCCCCUGCUGGACGGCUGUGUGACCGCAGCACCGGGGGCUCUGUGCUCCCUCUCACCCCACCCCGAGGCUUCAGGUCAGCUGCUCCGUUGGAGAGGAGGGAGCAAGGUCUUCCAUCAGGAAGCAAAUCCGUCAGGCUCCACAAAGCGGGGGCCGGUCACCUUCCAGCUUAGACGGGGCAGCGCACAGCAAGGCACUUGAUGGCCACGCAAACUGAUGCCUUCCUUCUGAGCCUGCCGGGGAGUUCGGUGUUGGAUCCCCGGCCGAUGAGGCUGUGUCCUGCAGGCUGACCCACAUCCGGGCUCUUCCCCUCCCCGGGCCUUUGUCUCUGGGACCGUCUGCCUCUCAGGGGAGGGGAGGCAGGGUCUGGGAGCCCCUUGCUUUGUGGAACUCUCUCUCCUGGGGUGAGUCCUGGCCACUGUCGUCUCCUCCAUUCAUUUGGAAGCUGCUUAUUUCAAGUGCAUCUCCUGCCAGCUCUUUAUGUCUCAAAUGCUCUCUGGCCGUGAUUUCCUAUAGUUACAUAAUCACUUCUCUGUUGUCAUGAAUGACUUUUUCCUGUUCUUUUUUCCUCUGAGCCUCACACGACUCUGAGGUGCUUGAGGGUAGUUCAGCCGCCGGCCCCCGCACCGCCAGCCCCCGGAACUGGAGGCUCCCGCCGGCCUCUGGGCCCCUCCUCCUCCCCCCUCUCCUGAGGUGGUUCCGCGUCUCUUUCUCGGAGUCUGGACUCCUUGGCUGGGUCUUGUCGCCCCGCACACCUGCCCCGGUGCCCUGUGGAGGGCAGCGUGGAGGCCUCAGGAGGAUGCAUCUUGUGACCAGGAGCGUGUCCCCAGAGGCUGCCGCCCAUACCCUGUGGCCUGCUUCCCUCACACAGGCUCGCAGUGGGGCCUGGGGGCUCUGCUUCCUUGUCCCCAUCCUCUCAGAGACCCUCUCUCAUGGCCCUUGGUCCCAAAGGCAGCAGCAAGGCCUGCACAGGGCCUCC
rnacentral:lncRNA from 1 species